AGUGGCGGACGGGUGAGUAAUGCAUGGGAAUCUGCCUAUUAGUGGGGGACAACACGGGGAAACUCGUGCUAAUACCGCAUACGCUAUUGGAGAAAGAGGGCCUAUACUUGUAAGCUCUUGCUAUUGCAUGAGCCUAUGUCGGAUUAGUUAGUUGGUGAGGUAAUGGCUUACCAAGACUACAAUCCGUAGCUGGUUUGAGAGGAUGAUCAGCCACACUGGGACUGAGACACGGCCCAGACUCCUACGGGAGGCAGCAGUAGGGAGUAUUGGACAAUGGGCGCAAGCCUGAUCCAGCAAUGCCGCGUGUGUGAAGAAGGCCUGCGGGUUGUAAAGCACUUUCAAUUGGGAAGAAAGAUUUAGAGUUAAUACCUCUUAAUAUUGACGUUACCAAUAGAAGAAGCACCGGCUAACUCUGUGCCAGCAGCCGCGGUAAUACAGAGGGUGCGAGCGUUAAUCGGAAUUACUGGGCGUAAAGAGUACGUAGGUGGUUAAAUCAGUCGGAUGUGAAAGCCCCAGGCUUAACUUGGGAAUUGCAUUCGAUACUGUUUGACUAGAGUACAGUAGAGAGAAGCGGAAUUCCUAGUGUAGAGGUGAAAUUCGUAGAUAUCGGGAGGAAUACCGGUGGCGAAGGCGACUUUCUGGCUGAAUACUGACGCUGAGGCGCGAAAGCGUGGGGAGCAAACAGGAUUAGAUACCCUGGUAGUCCACGCCGUAAACGAUGUCUACUAGCCGUUGGGAUCCUUGAGGUCUUAGUGGCGCAGCUAACGCAAUAAGUAGACCGCCUGGGGAGUACGGUCGCAAGAUUAAAACUCAAAUGAAUUGACGGGGGCCCGCACAAGCGGUGGAGCAUGUGGUUUAAUUCGAUGCAACGCGAAGAACCUUACCUGCUCUUGACAUCCAGAGAAUUCGCUAGAGAUAGCUUAGUGCCUUCGGGAACUCUGAGACAGGUGCUGCAUGGCUGUCGUCAGCUCGUGUUGUGAAAUGUUGGGUUAAGUCCCGUAACGAGCGCAACCCUUAUCCUUAUUUGCCAGCGGGUCAUGCCGGGAACUCUAAGGAGACUGCCGGUGACAAACCGGAGGAAGGUGGGGACGACGUCAAGUCAUCAUGGCCCUUACGAGUUGGGCUACACACGUGCUACAAUGGCCGGUACAGAGGGCUGCAAACCCGCGAGGGGGAGCCAAUCUCACAAAACCGGUCGUAGUCCGGAUCGGAGUCUGCAACUCGACUCCGUGAAGUUGGAAUCGCUAGUAAUCGUGGAUCAGAAUGCCACGGUGAAUACGUUCCCGGGCCUUGUACACACCGCCCGUCACACCAUGGGAGUGGAUUGCACCAGAAAGUAGGUAGCCUAACUUUGGAGGGCGCUUACCACGGUGUGGUUGACGACUGGGGUGAAGUCGUAACAAGGUAACC
rnacentral:rRNA from 1 species